UACGGAGGUGGCGAGCGUUGUCCGAAGUUACUGGGCGUAAAGCGCGCGUAGGCGGCCGUCCACGUCGGGUGUGAAAGCUCGGGGCUCAACCCUGAGAGGCCACUCGAUACGGGACGGCUAGAGGCAGCUAGGGGAGAGUGGAAUACCUGGUGUAGCGGUGAAAUGCGCAGAUAUCGGGAAGAACACCCAUGGCGAAGGCAGCUCUCUGGGACGGUACUGACGCUGAGACGCGAAAGCGUGGGGAGCGAACAGGAUUAGAAACCC
rnacentral:rRNA from 1 species